rnacentral:rRNA from 1 species
AUUGCAAUAUCAAUAAGCGGAGGAAAAGAAACUAACAAGGAUUCCCCUAGUAACGGCGAGUGAAGUGGGAAAAGCUCAACUUUAAAAUCUGGUACCUUUGGUAUCCGAGUUGUAGUCUCAAGAAACGUUUUCUGUGCUGGCCCAUGUAUGAGUCUGUUGGAACACAGCGUCAUAGAGGGUGACAACCCCGUUCAUGACAUGGACCCCAGUACUUUGUGAUACGUUCUCGAAGAGUCGAGUUGUUUGGGAAUGCAGCUCAAAUUGGGUGGUAAAUUCCAUCUAAAGCUAAAUAUUGGCGAGAGACCGAUAGCAAACAAGUACCGUGAGGGAAAGAUGAAAAGCACUUUGGAAAGAGAGUUAACAGUACGUGAAAUUGUUGAAAGGGAAACGAUUGAAGUCAGACGUGCGUGAUGCAGUUCAGCCCAGGUUCGCCUGGGUGUAUUCUGUAUCUUUGCAGGCCAACAUCGGUUUUGCGAGACGGAUAAAGGUUAGAGGAAUGUAGCAGGUUCGCCUGUGUUAUAGCCUCUGACUGAAUACGUUUUGUGGGACCGAGGAACGCAGCGCGCCGCAAGGCAAAGGUUCCGACCUUUUCGCGCUUAGGAUGUUGGUGAAAUGGCUUUAAACGACCCGUCUUGAAACACGGACCAAU